CUUCUCCUCCUUCCCUGCCUCUUGCACCUCCAACACCUCCUCCACCUCCACUGCCUCUUCCUCCUUCUCCUUCUCCAGCCCCACUGACUAUUCCUCCUCCACAGCCUCCUCCACCUCGGCAGAAGCUUCCUGGCCAACUUCCUCUGCAUGCUCCUUGCUAAGGCAUGCUGGUAGCAAUGAUCGUGAGCCCAGAAAUGGCAGGAGGAGUUGCCAGGAACCAGGUGUGCCAAGGCGGCUUCUCUGGGAGGCUAUGGCUGUGAGCGCUGCCCACCGCUCCUAAUUCUAGUUCCAUUUGUCACCCCACAGGACCAUGGCACUGUGACCCUGUAAGGUAGCAGCUGGCGGCUCCUAUCAUCUUGAUGACGCUCUGUGAUGCGUUGCUUGUUGCCUGGGUAGCGAUUGUUAGCAAUUAUGCAAAUGGCUUGUCAUCAAUCGGGGAUGUGGCUGCUCCUCCCUAUAAAUGGGCCAAGGGGGGCAGUGGGAGCCAGAGUGUUGGAGAGGGGAGAUGGGAGAAGGUGGAAACAGAAAAGGAGGAGGAUGAGGAAGAGGCAUAGGUGGAAAAGGGGGAGUAAGAGAACAAGGGGGCAGUGGAGGAGGUGGCGGAGGAGGAGGUGGCGGAGAAGAUUGAGGAGGUGGUGGAGAAGAUUGAGGAGGUGGCGGCAUGAGUAGGAGUGGUGACAAAAGAGGAGGGGUUGUCAUUCGUGGACAAAUACUGGGUUAAGUACACCAUCGCUGCAAGAGGAGCACAAGCUACCUGCAAAUGGGCAAAUAUACCUCUGCAAGUUUUCUUACAAGGGAUUAAGACAAAAAGGCCUGUGCCUGGCAGAGGGAGCACUGAACGAUGAUCUAGCAAAGCAGUCUAUCGCAGACAGACAACACUGGCCCGGAAAUCCUGCUGGAAAAUUUGGUGUACCUGAAACUGAGACGGAAAUUGGAACUUCCAACAAAACGCUGUAGGGUAGAAGUUGUUUUAGCUGAACAUACUGGGCACAUAUUUGAGUGCAAAAGGACCAUGGCACUGUGACCCUGUAAGGUAGCAGCUGGCGGCUCCUAUCAUCUUGAUGACGCUCUGUGAUGCAUUGCUUGUUGCCUGGGUAGCGAUUGUUAGCUAUUAUGCAAAUGGCUUGUCAUCAAUCAAGGGUGUGGCUGCUCCUCCCUAUAAAUGGGCCAAAGGGGGGCAGUGGGAGCCAGAGUAUUGGAGAGUGGAGAUGG